AAAGGAAUUGACGGGGACCCGCACAAGUGGUGGAGCAUGUGGUUUAAUUCGAAGAUACGCGAAGAACCUUACCUGGCCUUGACAUCCCAAGAACCCUGUAGAGAUACGGGGGUGCUAGCUUGCUAGAAUUUGGUGACAGGUGCUGCACGGCUGUCGUCAGCUCGUGUCGUGAGAUGUUGGGUUAAGUCCCGCAACGAGCGCAACCCUCAUCGUUAGUUGCUAACAGUUCGGCUGAGCACUCUAACGAGACUGCCUUCGCAAGGAGGAGGAAGGUGAGGACGACGUCAAGUCAUCAUGGCCCUUACGGCCAGGGCUACACACGUGCUACAAUGGGGCGUACAGCGAGUCGCAAUACCGCGAGGUGGAGCCAAUCUCUCAAAGCGCCUCUCAGUUCGGAUUGUUCUCUGCAACUCGAGAGCAUGAAGCUGGAAUCACUAGUAAUCGUAGAUCAGCAUUGCUACGGUGAAUACGUUCCCGGGUCUUGUACACACCGCCCGU
rnacentral:rRNA from 1 species